rnacentral:snRNA from 1 species
GUGCUGGCUUCUGCAGCACAUAUACUAAUAUUGGAAAGAAACAGAGAAGAUUAGCAUGACCCCUGCACAAGGAUGACAUGCAAAUUCGUGAAGCAUUCCUUUUUUUU